UACGAGGGGGGCGAGCGUUGUUCGGAAUUAUUGGGCGUAAAGGGUGCGUAGGCGGUUUGGUAAGUCUUGUGUGAAAUCUACAGGCUCAACUUGUAGUCUGCACGAGAAACUGCCGGGCUUGAGUGUGGGAGAGGUGAGUGGAAUUCCUGGUGUAGCGGUGAAAUGCGUAGAUAUCAGGAGGAACACCUGUGGCGAAGGCGGCACUCUGGGACGGUACUGACGCUGAGACGCGAAAGCGUGGGGAGCGAACAGG
rnacentral:rRNA from 1 species